CCUACGGGAGGCAGCAGUGGGGAAUUUUGGACAAUGGGCGCAAGCCUGAUCCAGCAAUGCCGCGUGAGUGAAGAAGGCCUUCGGGUUGUAAAGCUCUUUUGUCAGGGGAGAAACGGCUCCAGCUAAUAUCUGGGGCUAAUGACGGUACCUGAAGAAUAAGCACCGGCUAACUACGUGCCAGCAGCCGCGGUAAUACGUAGGGUGCAAGCGUUAAUCGGAAUUACUGGGCGUAAAGCGUGCGCAGGCGGUUUUGUAAGUCUGUCGUGAAAGCCCCGGGCUCAACCUGGGAAUUGCGAUGGAGACUGCAAGGCUUGAAUCUGGCAGAGGGGGGUAGAAUUCCACGUGUAGCAGUGAAAUGCGUAGAGAUGUGGAGGAACACCGAUGGCGAAGGCAGCCCCCUGGGUCAAGAUUGACGCUCAUGCACGAAAGCGUGGGGAGCAAACAGGAUUAGAUACCCUGGUAGUCCACGCCCUAAACGAUGUCUACUAGUUGUCGGGUUUUAAUAACUUGGUAACGCAGCUAACGCGUGAAGUAGACCGCCUGGGGAAGUCGGUCGCAAGNUUAAAACGUAAUGAAUUGACGGNUGAGAGNGCGAGACGACGACGAGGGAGGAGG
rnacentral:rRNA from 1 species